CCCUUAUCACUUCUUCCGCCGAG
rnacentral:miRNA from 2 species